UACGUAAUUAUUAUGCAUAAUCAUCGACAUAAACAAUUUCUCUUGCAUGUGAUUGGCUGGAAAACAAUGGAUCUUUUUCUUACAAUCRAAUUUACAUAUAUCGCUACCUUUUCGUGAAUCACGUUAAGYGUCGAAUUUCAUCGCCAAAUUCACAGCAGAAAAGGAUUUCUAUUGAGCAAAAGGUUAUUACCCACUCCAAGGUAAACGUUGUACAGUACUUGAGUUGAAGGUGAAAGGUUUUUUGGCUGUCAUCAUGCGAUUGCUGUUCGUUGGAGUUAUAACACUUUGCUGUGCUAUUCAAACAGUGUUUUCUGUGGAGUGCUACAGUUGUUGGCCACCAAUGCCAGAGGAAGAGUGCAAGCGAAGUGGUAAAAGAAUGSAAUGUAGGGAUUGGGAGCAUAUUGGUUAUGAUUCAUGCAUCGAAGUAGAAUACACCGGCAACGAUUCACUUGCAAGAGCUUGUUAUCCGAGUUAUAAAUGUGAAGGUGCCCGUGAAUGGUGUAGGCGUUAUGGUCCUUGUACUGUCAAGUGUUGUCAAUACAAUUUGUGCAAUCCUGCAUCUACGUUCAAGAUAGUUGGCACCUUCUCCUUGUUUAUGGCUUUAGCUGCUGUCUUUUACAACCUACGCUGAGUUAAUGGAUUUGUAGUUGGUAAUGACUUUAGAAUGACUGUAUCUAGGGAGAGUCUUUCCAAAAAAUCAUAUAUCCUUUGAACUGAUAACUUUAUACCCCAUAUUAAAGCAAAGGCUAAACUAGAAUGUAAGUUUAUAGGGCUAUACAUUGUCUCUCACUGCGUCAAUGCUUCGACUCAAAGUAGCCUAGUAUCUGGAUACAGUUGUAGCAAGUGUCACAUUGAAUUUGUAUACAGCGAAAUGUUAUUCAAUCGAAAUACUUCAUACUUACAGUAAGCGUACAGGUUAGCUACUAAAACUGUUCGUCGAGAUCGAACUAUUUUUAAUUCAGAUUGUUUUAGAUAUUAUUGUAAUAGAGUGAUAUCAUAAACCCUUGAAAAAUGMUCAAGCGUACGAGCUUUGCUUAGUCUUUGGUGCAUAUCACACAUUAUAACAUUAUUACUAUAAUACACUUUGUUUCAAGGGUUUAUGAAAACUGCUCUAAUAUUUGUUUCAUGGAUACACUUUACYAGAGUGCAAUACAGCUGAGCAGKUUUUUGUUUUUUUCAACAGCCAUUUGUAAAAAUUCUUACCGCUGAUCAUAAAUCAUUUUUGCGUGCAUCAUGGGUAAUUUAUUCACGUGAUUUUCUGGAUUUUCUCUCUUGAAAAAUUGAAAAUCAGUCAAGUCAAACUAUUUGAUGUUAUGCUCAUUUAGGGGUUUUAAAAACUAAUUCUCCUCUUUGAGGACAAAUUUAAGUUUCAAUUUUGUUAUAUUAGUCACCCUAUGUACAUAUAGGGAGUGGUCAGUCUGCAAAUCACUGUAAAUAAGGUACUAUUGUGUACUUCAUGUUAUGGACUUCAGUUCAUGUAUAUCGCUAAUUAAACAUUAAAAGAGAACACGGUUUUGUAUAACUUUUAAGUAACUUGGCUGUACAGAAGUUUUGCGAUUUUAAAGUAUAAACAAUUUUAAUUGUUUAAAAACGUUAAAUGCGUUUUGGAGCGUUUUGGGCGUUUUUGUUCUCAAUUUGCCUCAAUUAAAUUCACUGGCUAAUUUAUUAGGGCUUAAGUAUUCUGUUGCCUAUACGAAAAUAAGGUGUUGGCCCUUAUUGCGGUAUCACCGUAUGUCAUGUAAUUGAAUGUAAAAUGUACGAAAUUGGCCCAUGUAUAGGGCUACCACUGAAUGUUUUUGGUUGAUUACAGCGGAUUGUCUAAUGUUAGUGCAGRCAAUCAUACACUUGUUUGACAAAAAGUUUUUGUUGCUUGUAAACUUCAAAAAGAAAACUCCAUCAUAUUAUG